GAAGUUUCUGUCGGGCCCCUCGCGGGUCGCGUCCAGACCGGCAGGCUCCGGGCCGCGCAGCAGGAGCCGGUCGGCGCCCAGGGCCCGCACGGUGAUCUGCGCCGUGGACGUGUAAUGCGGCGGCAGCGGCGGCUUGCAGGACCCGCCGGGCGGCCCGGCGGCGGCGGCUGAGGCGGGGCGGCGGCCCCGGACACCAUCUCGAAGCAGGAGGAGAAGGCGGGCAUCUUGGCGGCGGGAGCGGCGGCGGCUUCGCGGGGCUCGGCGGCCGCGGCCGGCUGGCACUCACCGGUCUCGGGUUCCGGGCGCCACCGGCGGGUCCGGGGCUGCAGAGACCUUGAACGAGGUGGCGGUGGCGGCGGCGGGCGGAGCGGCGGUUGCGGCCGUGGGACCCUGGCCCCGGCUGGUGGUGGGUGCAGACGCUGCUGUAGAGCUGCAUGUCCCUGCCCGCCGCUCGGCCCCUUAUAGGCGCGCCGAGCCCCGGUGAGGGACACACCCUCCGGGCCCGGGGAAGGGGCCGGCCGAGCGCGGUGACCCAGUGCCCCGAGAAUAGAAAUGACCGAAGGGCCGCCGGCGCGUCAGGAGCUGCAAAUAGCGCCCGGGUCCCCGCCAAAUUCCUGCUGCGCCACAGCGCGCGGUGGGGCGGGAAGGGACGCGCGCUCGACCUGCCGGCGCUAGCGGCCCGCAGACCCGGACGCGUGCGCCCGCCGCCACUGCUCCGGCCCGCGGCGGCCGCUGAGGACUCACGGAGGUAGCCGCCCGCCCUGCUGGAGCGCGUCCCGCCGGCUAGCAGCACUGCAGGGCGCGCGGACGAGCCAGGAGGCGGGGCCGCGGUUGUUUACCUCAGGCAGCGCUGCCGCGUCACGUGCCUUCAUUGGAAUGUGCGGCUCGUCGCGGCGUCCCAUUCAACCGCCGGGCUCGCCCCACCCUCCGGCUCGCCCCGCCCCGUUCGGUGACGUCAUGGGCGUGGCCCGCAGCGCGGGCGACGGGCGCGCGGGCGGGAGAGCGCGGAGGCGCGGAGGCCUGUGUAGCCGUAGCCGCUGCCCCACCUCAGUGUUAGUUUCUAGGCGCCGCGGUUUUCUGCGCUUCAGCAGUGGAUCUUGGUGGGUUCAGGGCAGCUUGGGGCGGACAAGAAUGCUGAAGGCUUUUGCCCAUACUGCUCCUUUGCUGAACACUGCAUUUGGUCACUCGAAUUCACCCACGAGGUCUCUGUUUAGACGAUGCUUGUUCCAGACAGAGAGAAAUUCCCUCUGUCUCUGGCUCUGUAAGUGA
rnacentral:lncRNA from 1 species